CAAUCUACGUCUUUGGAGUGCAAC
rnacentral:siRNA from 1 species